GACAGAGGCCUCAAGCGUUAGGCGGAAUCACUGGGCUUAAAGCGUGUGUAGGCGGAUCGUUAAGUGUCUUGUGAAAUCCCACGGCUCACCCGUGGAACUGCUUGGUAUACUGGCGGUCUUGAGCCAGCUAGGGGCUACCGGAACAAAUGGUGGAGCGGUGAAAUGCGUAGAUAUCAUUUGGAACGCCAAUGAUGAAAACAGGUAGCUGGGGCUGUGCUGACACUGAGACACGAAAGCCAGGGGAGCAAACGGG
rnacentral:rRNA from 1 species